rnacentral:lncRNA from 1 species
GAAACUAAGAGACCUUCAAUGGGGUUAUCAAGUGAUCAAAUCAGCAAGUCUCAAUCUUCAUAGUAUUUCCUUCUACCUUUCUCAGCCUACAUCUGGUUGUCAUCAAGAAACCGAGAAUUCCAUCAAGAUAAACAUAUCAAAAGAGAGACUUUCCCACUUGUCUGAUCUCCUUGUUGCAUAGUCUUUCCUUCUAUCUUUCUCAGCCUACAUCAGGUUGUUAUCAAGAAACCGAGAACUCGUUGAACAUAAACAUAUCAGAAGAGAGUCUUUCCUACUUGUCUGACCUCCUUGUGCUUUUGACAACAUUAAAAAGUACUCAAGCUUCCUUGAGUAACUUGGAGUUCCACCAGGUUAAAUGGGAGUUACAGCAAGUGAGAAAUCUUGGAAGUUUACUUGAAAGUAGCUCAAGUAUUAACCAACUAGUGUUUAAGAGAAACAGUCUCACUGUGGAAUGUUUAUCUGAGCUGUCGGAAGUUUUAAAGAAGAAUGAACGGAUCAAGGAAAUUAUGCUGUCGGAAUCAAAUAUUGGUUCGGUUGGAGCUUCUCUUCUUGCUUCUGCGCUUAAGGUGAAUGGAAGCUUAGAAAAUUUACAAAUAUGGGAAGACUCCAUUGGCUCAAAGGGUGCAGAGGAGCUGUCCAAAAUGAUAGAAGUUAACUCAACGUUGAAGCUACUCACAAUAUUUGAUUCCAAGUCUAUUACUGCCACAC